rnacentral:rRNA from 1 species
ACCCGCUGAACUUAAGCAUAUCAAUAAGCGGAGGAAAAGAAACUAACAAGGAUUCCCCUAGUAACUGCGAGUGAAGCGGGAAAAGCUCAAAUUUAAAAUCUGGCGGUCUAUGGCUGUCCGAGUUGUAAUCUAGAGAAGUGUUAUCCGCGCUGGACCGUGUACAAGUCUCCUGGAACGGAGCGUCAUAGAGGGUGAGAAUCCCGUCUUUGACACGGACUCCCAGGGCUUUGUGAUGCGCUCUCAAAGAGUCGAGUUGUUUGGGAAUGCAGCUCUAAAUGGGUGGUAAAUUCCAUCUAAAGCUAAAUAUUGGCGAGAGACCGAUAGCGAACAAGUACCGUGAGGGAAAGAUGAAAAGAACUUUGGAAAGAGAGUUAAACAGUACGUGAAAUUGUUGAAAGGGAAACGCUUGAAGUCAGUCGCGUUGUCCAGGGAUCAACCUUGCUUUUGCUUGGCGUAUUUCCUGGUUGACGGGUCAGCAUCAAUUUCGAUCGAUGGAUAAAGUCCAGGGGAAUGUGGCAUCUUCGGAUGUGUUAUAGCCUUUGGUCGUAUACAUCGGUUGGGAUUGAGGAACUCAGCACGCCGCAAGGCCGGGUUUUUAACCACGUACGUGCUUAGGAUGCUGGCAUAAUGGCUUUAAUCGACCCGUCUUGAAACACGG